CCGAGCCGUCCCGUGAGCCCACUACAACUCUCUAGGCCACUGUAGUUCGGCGGCGCACGUUGGUUUGGCGUGUUGGGCCUCGUUGUUUCGGCCAGUUUUCGUGGCGAGCGGAGCGGUGACUGUGUUUGUUGCACGUAUAAUCAUAGUAUCCCCCUAGUCGCAAUGGGUUCGCGGCGCAAUGGCGAACUCCAAACCUCAAAAGGGGUACUUUCAGGUGUUCCUAAAAUCCUACAAGCAGGAAUUCCCGUGCUUCGUGCCGUCCAAGAAGGGAGAGAAGUUUGGAUUCUGUCGCACGUGCACGUGUGAUGUGAGCGUUUCACACGGUGGCAAGGCUGACAUCAAGCUGCACAUCGCUUCGCGUAAACACCAGGGAUAUGUGCGAGCUGCAGAUAACCAGUCGAAUCUGCAUAUUAAGAGGAGGUCCUGAAGGUCCUGUUGGAACUGCGGUUUGAUAUGGGGCAACUCAGGCCGGAAAUGGCGGCCAUCCUGACAGGGCAGGACCAAAUCAGGGCCCGCCUGGCAGUGAUGAAGCAGGCGGAAAGGGGGUCCGACGCACCGUCUUCACCUCCCGUGUUCAUCCUGCCGCUCACCACAAUGGAGGAUUUGGAGGCGGCCUCAGAAAUGCUGCUGACCAGGCCAUGCUGAAUUUUGCUCCCUAAGACCCUUCAAAGGAUGCAAGACGUGCAGCGUCCGACCAUAAAGAGGCAAGUG